UUGCUUUCUUUGCUGGCGACCGGCGCACGGGUGAGUAACACGUAUCCAACCUGCCCUUUACUCGGGGAUAGCCUUUCGAAAGAAAGAUUAAUACCCGAUAGCAUAAUGAUUCCGCAUGGUUUCAUUAUUAAAGGAUUCCGGUAAAGGAUGGGGAUGCGUUCCAUUAGGUUGUUGGUGAGGUAACGGCUCACCAAGCCUUCGAUGGAUAGGGGUUCUGAGAGGAAGGUCCCCCACAUUGGAACUGAGACACGGUCCAAACUCCUACGGGAGGCAGCAGUGAGGAAUAUUGGUCAAUGGGCGCUAGCCUGAACCAGCCAAGUAGCGUGAAGGAUGAAGGCUCUAUGGGUCGUAAACUUCUUUUAUAUAAGAAUAAAGUGCAGUAUGUAUACUGUUUUGUAUGUAUUAUAUGAAUAAGGAUCGGCUAACUCCGUGCCAGCAGCCGCGGUAAUACGGAGGAUCCGAGCGUUAUCCGGAUUUAUUGGGUUUAAAGGGAGCGUAGGUGGACUGGUAAGUCAGUUGUGAAAGUUUGCGGCUCAACCGUAAAAUUGCAGUUGAUACUGUCAGUCUUGAGUACAGUAGAGGUGGGCGGAAUUCGUGGUGUAGCGGUGAAAUGCUUAGAUAUCACGAAGAACUCCGAUUGCGAAGGCAGCU
rnacentral:rRNA from 1 species